rnacentral:lncRNA from 1 species
GACUUUGGACUCACGUAGGCAUAGGAGAACGAAACUUCUGUACAUUUUAAUCUGAAUAAUUCUUCAGGAUUUAAAAUUAAUUGGCUCUGGCUUGGUUGGACCGUACUCGGAUCUCGCCACCUCUGCGUUUCCCGAGUCACUGGCGAAGAGGUCCCAGUUCCUCUGGGAAUCGUCCUGUAUGCAACAUCUUCACAAGAGUGGCAGGCAGUUGAAUCUCUGGCCUUCGUGGGACCACUGGACAUCUGGCAGAGAACCAGGAAACCACGGUUCCCUUCUGUGAGUCCCUCAGCCGGAAAACUACAAGGAGCCAGUUGUCCAGCACAGUGUCAUGGGACAGUGGGCCCUGGUGCCACAAUGCCCGGCAUCUCCACCAGAUACAGCUUUGAGAUCUUCAUGAUGAAGCUUGCUCCAAUCCAAGGGCUGUCAGGUGGGGUUUGCGGUUCAGCUGCUAACCUUUCUUUGAUCCAAAUCCUGUCUUCACUGGCUUCAAGAAUCCUGUCUUCACUGGCUUCAAAACUGGGAUGAAGGAGGCUCCUUAGUGGAGAGCAAAGCAAAGAGAAACUCAAAUUGGAUCCAUAUUAAAGAAGAGAAGGAUGGAUUUGUUUAGACAACACAAACCUAGGAAGGGUUUGAGAGGUGAAACAAACUGGGUUAUGGAUGAACGGGGGCAAUUGGAAUGUAGAAUUGAAGCAGUAAUUAACAUCUUGACCCAGUUUUGGUGACUUGGUCACUGCAGACCUUUCAGAAUGUGUGGUGCUCAUUCUUGUUAAACCAGUUGAGAAUUUCCCCAAUCCUUUGGCCCUGCGCACAAGUGUAGCUGCUCUUCCAAUCAAUGGGACCUUUGUAUGCAGCAGGGCGGAAGGAUAUUAUUAUGUGACAAAUGACCACAGGGAAACUCCCAUUAUUUUCCUUGUGUCUGAGAAAUUAUAAAUGUGUAAUAAGGAACACUUUGUAGUAACCCUUGUUAAUUUAUGAUUUUAAAUAUGAAUGUGAAUUUAUUGGAAUGACACAAUAAAGAGUCACCAUGGGCACCGAUUAUAAUUAUCACCAAGUACAAUGAAGCAGAGAAAGAAACUAUCUCGCUCCUAAAUGGCAUCAUCCAUAUAAGCCUUGCCUUGUUCAAAGCUACUCUGUAGUAUUUUCUUUUAAAUAAAAUAAAUAAGGCACAAAUAAACAACAUAACCUAAAGAGGAGAUGGAAUGGUCUAUUUCUUUUUGUUUUUUGGAAGCUAAAUUUUUGAGAUAACAUUAAAGAUAAAAAUCAGCAAGACACCUCUGGGCUACGAGAGGCUACUCUUAUGUCACAUGUCCAUUUAUCACCAUCAUCUUCUCUAUGUUCUCUUCCCUUCCCCCCACUUUCUCCUCCUCCUACUUCUUGAUUAGCCAGUCAGAUGUCUUAUUCUUCUGAAGGAAGUGAUUUGUUCAGAGAUGGGUACAUGAUACCAGGCUCUGCCAAUACAAGGCUUGCCUGAGACAUUGGUUGGAGAUGUAAAGAAAGAAGUAUGCUCACUUCUAGAAGAGCCACAUAUAAACCAUUAACUGCAGUGAAGAAAGCCUGAUGAAGGAUGCCAAUGGAGAAGGAAGCAGAGCAGCACAGAGCAGGAGCAAUAGUUAGAUGCGCAUGAUGACAUUACUUGAGUACCUGGAUCCAGCCACACCUGAAAACUGAACUCUCUAAACUCCUCACUUAUUGGAACUAAUAUGUUUCUCCUUUUUGGUUUUAGUUGGUUUCAGUUGACUUUUUACUCAUGGCAAACCAAAGAUUUUUUUUUUUUUUUUUGAGACACAGUCUCAUUUUAUCACCCAAGCUGGAGUGCAGUGGCGCAAUCUUGGCUCACUGCAACCUCCACCUCCCGGGCUCAAGCAAUUCUCCUGUCUCCACCUCCCAGGCAGCUGGAAUUGCAG